rnacentral:rRNA from 1 species
AUGGUCGGGCGUAUGGAGGGAGGGAAAGGGGAGGUGUGCGUCACCGGCGCCGCCGGGUUCAUCGCCUCGUGGCUCGUGAAGCUCCUCCUCUCCCGCGGCUACACCGUCCGCGGCACCGUCCGCGACCUCGGUGAGAAGAAGACCGGCCAUCUGAGGUCGCUGGAGAACGCAUCUGAAAAUCUCAAGCUUAUCAAGGCCGAUCUGCUUGAUUACGAUGCCAUGGUGGCUGCGAUAGAGGGAUGCCAGGGAGUUUUCCAUGUCGCCAGUCCGGUUCCUUCGGAGAAUGCGACUGACCCAGAGCUAGAACUUCUGCGUCCUGCCGUUGCUGGUACCAAAAAUGUACUGGAGGCCGCGUCCGCUGAGAAGAUUCGGCGGGUGGUUGUCGUGUCAUCCAUUGUCGCCGUCGAUAUCAACCCCAAGGAUUGGCCCAACGACAAGAUCAAAGACGAAAACUGUUGGUCAGACAGAGAUUUUUGCAGGAAUCAAGAGGACUGGUAUUCGGUUUCCAAGAUCACGGCAGAGGAGGCGGCGCUCGAAUACGGGCGGCGAACCGGCCUGGACGUGGUCACUCUCAACCCGGCGGUGGUGUUCGGCCCCCUGCUGCAGCCAUCGGUGAACGCGAGCAGCCAGUUCCUCAUCUACUUCCUCAAAGGGGGCCCUGACCGGAUGAGGGACAAGCUGUGGCACAUCGUCGACGUGCGCGACACCGCCGACGCUCUGCUCGUGCUCUACGAGGCGCCGGAGGCCGCCGGCAGGCACAUCUGCGCGCCGCAUGUCAUCAUCGCCCGCGACCUGCGGGACUUGCUCAAGAGCAUGUACCCUGACUACCCUCUAGUCAGCAAGGAGAGCAUCUACGACGUGGAUCACCCGGCACCGAUGACGACCGACAAGCUGAAGAAGCUGGGGUGGACCUGCCGAUCGCUGGAGGAGACCAUCGCGGACAGCGUCGAGUACUGCCAGCAGGCCGGGUUUCUCGACGAUGUCGAAGGCGGGGCGCCAUGCCGUUUCCCUCCGUUUUACAACAAGAUUUAG